CAAACAAAAAUAUUUCACUUAUUUAUCUGUUUUUAUCAACACUUGUUCGUGCAACCAAAUUUUGGAAGAUGGCCAAGAGAAAUGUCGCUGGUAAUUCUUCUUUUGAAAGAACUACUUUGGCUUCUAUAGAUCAAAAGUUGGCCUUGGCCAAGCGCUGUUCUCACGGUAAUACAAUGCACAACUUUCUGCAAAUUUGACCGUAUCUAAAUAUUAUUUGGUUUUCAUUUAAUUUUUGUUUUGUGCGUAAACAGAGGGUGUGAUGGCAGGAGCCAAGGCAGCUGUUGUUGCUACUAUUGCCAGUGCAAUCCCAACUGUAACUAUUACUUCCACCUUUUCAAUUUUCUUUCUUUCUUUCAUUCAAUUAUUUUAGGCAUAAAGUGUUCAUGAAUCAUGAUCUGUUUGCAUUGGUUCGAUCUGCAGCUGGCUAGUGUGAAGAUGCUACCUUGGGCAAAAGCAAAUCUCAAUCACAGUGCUCAAGCUCUCAUAAUUUCCACAGGUAACUAUUAUCAUCCUAGGAUGCUCCAAUUCUCUCCUCAUAACAGUUGCUAUGGUUGUUGGAAUUAGUGAUCUAAUAAGUAGCACAUUUUGUAAACAGCGGCUGGAGCAGCAUAUUUCAUCGUAGCAGACAAGACAGUUUUGGCAACCGCAAGAAAGAACUCCUUCAAUCCACCCUCCAACCCAUGAAUUCCAAAUCUGACAACUUGGUUGUUGAAUUCAGCUAUCGUAGCAUUAACCGAUCAUCCAACUCAUCACAUAUGUAUGUAUUCAGAAAAAUUAUAAUAAAGAAGGCUUUUUGCAUUACAGUGAGAGAGCACUUAUGUACCAAACAUCAGUUAAUUAUUAAAAAUGCAAAUCAACUGCCUUUCUUUUUUGCGAGUGCAAUUUUCUUAGUAUUGAAAAUCUAUAUUUUCUGGGUAGCCCAAUGACAACUUCCACAAUUACAAGAAUCAUAUACAAACAUAAAGAUCGUGAAAAUAGUAAAGAUAUUUUUACAAUAAUGAAAUGAAUGGAUAACUUACCUACUUAACAACAACCAUGUAUAUGGAUUCCCUUAUAUAAAUUUAACUUUAAGAAAAGAAAAAUAAUUCUUUAUCACCCCAUCCUUUUAAAAAAUAUUUAGAAAGUAAUAUGCUAAAGGCUCUUUCAAUAUUUUUUUUCUUCUUCUUUAUUUCUAAUUAAGAGAUAAUAUUUUUAUUUAGAGAAAUUGUAAUUCUUUUUACUUGAUAAAAUGAAGUUCUUACAUUGCUAUAUCAGUAUAAAACCCUGGCUGGUCUCACCGCCUAUUGACAUUAUCUCACCAUGAGUUCAUCAAUGUAUAUUGGUAAUAAAUAAUUAAGUAAAAUGUAGGAAAAAAUAAUGAUAAAAUGUAGAAAAACAAAUAUGAGUGGUAAGUGUAUAAAAUGAAAAUGUUUAAAUAAUAACAUAAGAAAUUAAACCUUUUAUUCAUUUAUGUCAGAUUAAAAGGUUAAGAAGGAAAAUGAAAGAGGGAGAUAAUAAGUACGUAUUGGGUCAUGAGCAUUGCUGUUAAAAUAUGUCUUCUUCUGUGCUAACAGCCAAGAGCAGUGCAGAGAAAGCAUGGAUUAUAAGGAAGCAUUAAUCACGUAAAGACUUUAUCUUAGUGGCUUAUCAGUUAUAAAAAUGAAACUAUUAAUUUUAACUUUUGACAGUGAUAAUUAUAAAAAAUUAAAGAAAAUAUAGUGUGAAUAAAUAAUAUCCACAACAAGCCCUUGUGUGUAUAUAUUUUAUAGUGUAAGGUAAGAUCUAAUACCACAGAACAGAUAAAUAAAUGCUUAAUAAAUUAGUCAUGAACACUGAACACUUCAGAACAGGAAGGGUAAUAGUUUAACAGUAAUUUGCUGUGUUUUACUAUUUGGACUUUUAGCAUAUGCAUUCUCAUGCCACUGUAUUAAAAUAUAGGAAAUUAGAAAAUAACUGUCAUAUGGAGAUAAUCAGCAUAGAAUCAGUUCAAAUGGGAAAAAGUUGAAGUGAUAGAACUCAGGUUGGCUGUUUCAUCUUUUACAAUAUUAUAUUUUUAGUAAUUAUUUUACCUUUGGUAUAUCUAAAAAUACGUCUCAUUAAUAUUUUAAUUUUAAUAAAUACUUUUUUAAUUUUUAAAAUAAUAAAAAGUUCUAGAAAAUAAUUUCCUACUUUCUCUCUUCGAAAAUAAUAAAAAAAACUUAUCCCACAGCUUUUUAGAGUCCCACAGCCAGAAUAUAGCACAUGGGGAGUUCAACACGUGUUGCAAUCUAACUAAAGAUGCCAAUGUUUUCUUAUUGCAACUUUAACAGUGAUGAAUCCAAUGUUUCAUCACAUUGAACCCAUUUUUGCAAACGCACUCGGUCUUAUGAAUAUAUGUAUAAUUGUUAAUGUUAUGGUUGGAAAAGAAAUUUAAACAUGUACCGACGCUAAAAUUAAUUUAUAUGUAAAUUUAAAAAUAUAUAGAUUAUAUGAGAACUAUACGAUAAUUUAUGUAUAAGUUAUUUUUAGUUUAUAAAAAUGAUCUAAUUUAUAAAGAAACUUUAUCACAUCCUUUAUAUUUUUAUUUUUAUUAAAGAAAAUGACUGGAGAUGCAAUUACAAUAAUCUAUUAACCUACCCUGAACAUGGUAUCAUGAUAUUGACUCUGAUAUCUUAGUACUGUAAAAUAUUUAGUUAUUGGGAUUGAUGUAGGAGAAAUGCCCAUGGUUUUUGUCCAUAUUCUAUCUAAACCACCAGCACUCUUUUUUAGUUUUCUUAUUAUAUUACUAAAAAAGUGGCGGACUAAACAAAGAUAAUCAAAAUGUUUUUUUUACACAUAUCAGUUGAAAAUUACUUUUAGACGUAUUAUGGUUAUUCUUACCGGAAUUUUUUUCUCUGUUUUUCUUUUUACAUGUGAUAUAACAUGUGAUUUUAAAGUUGAAAAGAUUACAAUUUUAUUAUUUAUAAAAACGAAGUAGUGAAUAUAAAUAUGAUUAUUAGAGUAUAUAAAAAAUUAAUUAUAUUUAUAAGAUUGUACACUUAUAUUAUAAUAUUGAAUAAUAUUCUAAAAGUAAUAUUUAUUAUAAGAAGAUGAUAAUAACAAAAUAAUAUAAUAUAAUAUAAAUAAGUUAAACUUAUUGAAAAUAGAAAAUUUUAAGAAAAAUUGGAUUGAAAUAUAUAAUCAGUUUAAGUGGUAGUUUAUCAAAAAUAAAAAUUUUAAGAAACUUUGAAUUGGAAUAGGAUUUUUUAUUCCUUUAAUUCUUUUAAAAUAAAAAUAUAGAAAUAAUUAAAAUAUUUGUUUGAUCAAAACAUUAUUUUUAAUUUUUAUAAGAUAUUAUCAUGAUAACAAUGUUACAUCACAAUGAUAUUGAUAGUGUUAUGUAACAUAAUAUUAAUUUAUCAGGUGAUAUUUUUUUUUAAUUAUAAAAAUUAAAUAUAUUAUAAACUGUGUGUACAACGUUAAUCUUAAAAUAUAAAAGAAAAUUAAUUAAACUACUUUUACAAAUAGGAGGAAUUAAUCGGAAAAAAUAAAAGAACAGAUUAAAUCAGGAAAAACAAUACUAGAACCAAGACAACAAUUAAGGCUUCAAAUUAAAGACGGUGUGAUUUGGUUUUGGAGUUUUAUGGCAGCUGUGGAUAAGACCAGUACUUCCAUUCCUCAGUGCACUGUGUUAGAAUAAGAUAGGACAAAAAUCCUCACAUGCCCAAACUUGGAUAAAGUAUGAAAAUAAUUCAGGGAACAACAGAAGCAUCAACAGACCAAAACCGAAACGGAUACUUUAGUGAAAAACAACUGUCUGAGACCGUGGAUUUCAAUUGAAACCAUCAAACUGCACACUACCCACUUUUUUCGGAAAUAGUUUUAAACAAAUGAUUUUGUUUUCUUCACCAAAACUCAGUAUAAAUAUGCCACCAACUUCAGCAGCUAUUCAACCAAACAUACUUCAAUCAUUCAUCUGAUUUUACCAACACUUGUUCCAUUCUUAGCUUUUGUCCAACCAAAUUUUGGAAGAUGGCCAAGAGAAAUGUUGCUGCUAAUUCUUCUUUUGAAAGGACAAGCUUGGCUUCCCUGGAUCAAAAGUUGGCCUUGGCCAAGCGCUGUUCUCACGGUAAUACAUGCACAGCUUUCUGCAAAUUUCACCAUAUCUGAAUAUUAUGUGUUUUCAUUUACAUUUUUGUUUUGUGUGUAAACAGAGGGUGUUAUGGCAGGAGUCAAGGCAGCUGUUGUUGCUACUAUUGCCACUGCCAUCCCAACUGUAAACAUUACUUCCACCUUUUGAAUUUUCUUUCUUUCAUUCAAUUAUUUUUGGCAUAAAGUGUUCAUGAAUCAUGAUCUGUUUGCAUUGGUUCGAUCUGCAGCUGGCUAGUGUGAAGAUGCUACCUUGGGCAAAAGCAAAUCUCAAUCACAGUGCUCAAGCUCUCAUAAUUUCCACAGGUAACUAUUAUCAUCCUAGGAUGCUCCAAUUCUCUCCUCAUAACAGUUACUAUGGUUGUUGGAAUAAUUAGUGAUCUAAUAAGUAGCACAUUCUGUAAACAGUGGCAGGAGCAGCAUACUUCAUCGUAGCAGACAAGACCGUUUUGGCAACUGCGAGAAAGAACUCCUUCAACCCACCCUCCAACCCAUAAAUUCGACAUCUGACAACUUGGAUAUGGAAUUCAGCUGCAUUACAUUGAACUAUCUUAGCUUCAACCCAAUCAACGAACUCGUCACAUGUAUAUAUGCAUUUGAAAUAAAGAAAGAUUUGCAUUUCAUUGUAUAGUGAGAGAUCAAAUAUUUUUCGAUUAUCGGUUAUAUGAAUGCAAAUCGUUGGCCUUUCUUC
rnacentral:lncRNA from 1 species